AGAAACCAGAGACAUAAUAACUGA
rnacentral:snRNA from 1 species